AGAGUUUGAUCCUGGCUCAGAAUGAACGCUGGCGGCGUGCCUAACACAUGCAAGUCGAACGAGGAAUCCUGAGCUUGCUCGGGAGAGUAAAGUGGCGCACGGGUGAGUAACGCGUAGGCAAUCUGUCUUCGGUACCGGGAUAACACUGCGAAAGCGGUGCUAAUACCGGAUGAAGUUCAUUGGACUGCGGUCCGGUGGAUGAAAGGGGGCUUCUGUAUACAGGCUUCCGACCGGGGAUGAGCCUGCGUACCAUUAGCUUGUCGGCGGGGUAACGGCCCGCCGAGGCGACGAUGGUUAGCCGGUCUGAGAGGAUGAUCGGCCACACCGGAACUGGAACACGGUCCGGACUCCUACGGGAGGCAGCAGUGAGGAAUUUUGCGCAAUGGGGGCAACCCUGACGCAGCAACGCCGCGUGAGUGAAGAAGGCUUUCGGGUCGUAAAGCUCUGUCGGGCGGGAAGAACCUGCACGGUGGUAAUAUAACCGAGCACUGACGGUACCGCCUAAGGAAGCACCGGCUAACUCCGUGCCAGCAGCCGCGGUAAUACGGGGGGUGCGAGCGUUAUUCGGAAUUAUUGGGCGUAAAGGGCGCGCAGGCGGCCCGGCAGGUCAGAUGUGAAAUCCCGGGGCUUACCCCCGGAAGUGCAUUUGAAACCGCCGGGCUUGAGUAUGGGAGAGGAAGGCGGAAUUCCCGGUGUAGAGGUGAAAUUCGUAGAGAUCGGGAGGAACACCAGUGGCGAAGGCGGCCUUCUGGACCAAUACUGACGCUGAGGCGCGAAGGCGCGGGGAGCAAACAGGAUUAGAUACCCUGGUAGUCCGCGCAGUAAACGGUGAUCACUAGGUGUGGCGGGUAUUGACCCCUGCCGUGCCGGAGCCAACGCAUUAAGUGAUCCGCCUGGGGAGUACGAUCGCAAGAUUAAAACUCAAAGGAAUUGACGGGGGCCCGCACAAGCGGUGGAGCAUGUGGUUUAAUUCGACGCAACGCGAAGAACCUUACCCGGAUUUGACAUCUGCGGAAUCUCUUUGAAAGAAGAGAGUGCCUUUCGGGGAGCCGCAAGACAGGUGCUGCAUGGCUGUCGUCAGCUCGUGUCGUGAGAUGUUGGGUUAAGUCCCGCAACGAGCGCAACCCCUGUCUUCAGUUGCCAUCAUUAAGUUGGGGACUCUGGAGAUACUGCCCCGGUCAACGGGGAGGAAGGUGGGGAUGACGUCAAGUCCUCAUGGCCUUUAUAUCCGGGGCUACACACGUGCUACAAUGGGCUGUACAGAGGGCUGCGACCCUGCGAGGGGGAGCGAAUCCCGGAAAACAGUCCUCAGUUCGGAUCGGAGUCUGCAACCCGACUCCGUGAAGCCGGAAUCGCUAGUAAUCGCGGAUCAGCAUGCCGCGGUGAAUACGUUCCCGGGCCUUGUACACACCGCCCGUCACACCAUGAGAGUUGGCUGUACCAGAAGCUGCGGGGCCAACCGUUUUACGGGGGCAGGCAUCUAAGGUAUGGCUGAUGAUUGGGGUGAAGUCGAAACAAGGUA
rnacentral:rRNA from 1 species